GACGAACGCUGGCGGCGUGCUUAACACAUGCAAGUCGAACGGAAAGGCCCUGCUUUUGUGGGGUGCUCGAGUGGCGAACGGGUGAGUAACACGUGAGUAACCUGCCCUUGACUUUGGGAUAACUUCAGGAAACUGGGGCUAAUACCGGAUAGGAGCUCCUGCUGCAUGGUGGGGGUUGGAAAGUUUCGGCGGUUGGGGAUGGACUCGCGGCUUAUCAGCUUGUUGGUGGGGUAGUGGCUUACCAAGGCUUUGACGGGUAGCCGGCCUGAGAGGGUGACCGGCCACAUUGGGACUGAGAUGCGGCCCGGAGUCCUACGGGAGGCAGCAGUGGGGAAUAGUGCACAAUGGGCGGAGGCCGGAUGCAGCGACGCCGCGUGCGGGAGGACGGCCUUCGGGUUGUAAACCGCGUGCGCCUGGGACGAAGCGUGAGUGACGGUAAUGGGUAAAGAAGCACGGGCUAACUACGUG
rnacentral:rRNA from 1 species